GGACCCGCACAAGCGGCGGAGCAUGCGGAUUAAUUCGAUGCAACGCGAAGAACCUUACCAAGGCUUGACAUAUACGAGAACGGGCCAGAAAUGGUCAACUCUUUGGACACUCGUAAACAGGUGGUGCAUGGUUGUCGUCAGCUCGUGUCGUGAGAUGUUGGGUUAAGUCCCGCAACGAGCGCAACCCUCGUUCUAUGUUGCCAGCACGUAAUGGUGGGAACUCAUGGGAUACUGCCGGGGUCAACUCGGAGGAAGGUGGGGAUGACGUCAAAUCAUCAUGCCCCUUAUGUCUUGGGCUUCACGCAUGCUACAAUGGCCGGUACAAAGGGCUGCAAUACCGUGAGGUGGAGCGAAUCCCAAAAAGCCGGUCCCAGUUCGGAUUGAGGUCUGCAACUCGACCUCAUGAAGUCGGAGUCGCUAGUAAUCGCAGAUCAGCAACGCUGCGGUGAAUACGUUCCCGGGUCUUGUACACACCGCCCGUCAAGUCAUGAAAGUCGGUAACACCUGAAGCCGGUGGCCUAACCCUUGUGGAGGGAGCCGUCGAAGGUGGGAUCGGUAAUUAGGACUAAGUCGUAACAAGGUAGCCGUACCGGAAGGUGCGGCUGGAUCACCUCCUUUCUA
rnacentral:rRNA from 1 species